rnacentral:rRNA from 2 species
GUGACCUCAAAUCAGGUAGGAUUACCCGCUGAACUUAAGCAUAUCAAUAAGCGGAGGAAAAGAAACUAACAAGGAUUCCCCUAGUAACUGCGAGUGAAGCGGGAAAAGCUCAAAUUUAAAAUCUGGCAGUCUUUGGCUGUCCGAGUUGUAAUCUAGAGAAGUGCUAUCCGCGCUGGACCGUGUACAAGUCUCCUGGAAUGGAGCGUCAUAGAGGGUGAGAAUCCCGUCUUUGACACGGACUACCAGGGCUUUUGUGAUGUGCUCUCAAAGAGUCGAGUUGUUUGGGAAUGCAGCUCAAAAUGGGUGGUAAAUUCCAUCUAAAGCUAAAUAUUGGCGAGAGACCGAUAGCGAACAAGUACCGUGAGGGAAAGAUGAAAAGAACUUUGGAAAGAGAGUUAAACAGUACGUGAAAUUGCUGAAAGGGAAACGCUUGAAGUCAGUCGCGUUGUCCAGGGAUCAACCUUGCUUUUGCUUGGUGCACUUUCUGGUUGACGGGUCAGCAUCAAUUUUGACCAUUGGAAAAAGGUCAGGGGAAUGUGGCAUCUUCGGAUGUGUUAUAGCCCUUGGUUGCAUACAAUGGUUGGGAUUGAGGAACUCAGCACGCCGCAAGGCCGGGUUUUUAACCACGUACGUGCUUAGGAUGCUGGCAUAAUGGCUUUAAUCGACCC